UACGUAGGGUGCAAGCGUUGUCCGGAAUUAUUGGGCGUAAAGAGCUCGUAGGCGGUUUGUCGCGUCGAAUGUGAAAACCCGGGGCUCAACUCCGGGCCUGCAUUCGAUACGGGCAGACUAGAGUUCGGUAGGGGAGACUGGAAUUCCUGGUGUAGCGGUGAAAUGCGUAGAUAUACGGAGGAACACCAGCGGCGAAGGCGGGUAGCUGGGCCAACACUGACGCUCAUGCACGAAAGCGUGGGGAGCAAACAGG
rnacentral:rRNA from 1 species